AUUUCCGUUGGGCUGGGUUUAACGAUUUUGAGAAAAAUCCUAAUGGUUCCCAUUGAUUAUGUCUCUUUUGUUGUAAUACACUUCCAAUCGAAUCUCCUGAAGCGUCCACCGCAAGAGAUAUUUCUGCUUCUGGGUCUGGGUGGUUUAAUAAUGCAAAAUCACUCAAUGCAUUUUUCGAUUUUUCAAAAGCUUCGUCAUGUUCUUUGGUCAAGUAAUUUUCUGAUACUUGUUCGAGUAAUGAGAGCACAUUUUAUGAAGUGGAGCCAAUAUGUUAGCACAAUGAGUGCCAUAUGGAGUCACGUGAUAUCGAAAUGCGCCAAAAGGUGUAACUACCGUUGUUUUGUCCAUGUCUUCGGAUUUCAUCGGAACUUGAUGAUAAGCAGAUCGCAAGUCAACCUUCGUAAAAAUUUCCGAUCCAUGGAUUUCAUUAGUGAAGGACUGGAUGUUUGGUAUUGGGUAUGUGUCCUUUUUUGUUUGUAUAUUGAGGUUUUUAUAAUUUCCACAAAUUCUGUAUGAGUCAGUUUUAUGAAUGUCUCCAUUUUUCUUCAAAACAACCGUAAUAGGGCUACCCCACUCACUUGUAGAUGGUGAGAUAAUACCUUGUUUCAAGAGUUUGGAAAAUCUAAGCGGUAAAUCUGAUUAGAAGAAUUAUAAUGUAAAAUAAGUUCAGUAACAGUUGUUUGGUAUUGAGGGCAAUCAAUUAAAGGGUGGUGUUUCCAAAUUAAAGUUUGACUUCCUAACGUGCAUGACCCAGUUAAUAUGUUGCAGGU